rnacentral:rRNA from 1 species
GACGAACGCUGGCGGCGUGCUUAACACAUGCAAGUCGAGCGAGAAACCUUCGGGUUUCUAGCGGCGGACGGGUGAGUAACACGUGGGUAACCUGCCUCAAAGAGGGGGAUAGCCUUCCGAAAGGAAGAUUAAUACCGCAUAAUAUUACAGUUUCGCAUGAAGCAGUAAUUAAAGGAGUAAUCCGCUUUGAGAUGGACCCGCGGCGCAUUAGCUAGUUGGAGAGGUAACGGCUCACCAAGGCAACGAUGCGUAGCCGACCUGAGAGGGUGAUCGGCCACAUUGGAACUGAGACACGGUCCAGACUCCUACGGGAGGCAGCAGUGGGGAAUAUUGCACAAUGGCGAAAGCCUGAUGCAGCAACGCCGCGUGAGUGAUGAAGGUCUUCGGAUUGUAAAGCUCUGUCUUUUGGGACGAUAAUGACGGUACCAAAGGAGGAAGCCACGGCUAACUACGUGCCAGCUGCCGCGGUAA